rnacentral:rRNA from 1 species
GACGGAGGGUGCAAGCGUUGCUCGGAAUCACUGGGCGUAAAGGGCGCGUAGGCGGCCAGCACCAGUCAGUUGUGAAAUCUCCGAGCUUAACUCGGAAAGGUCAACUGAUACUGUGCGGCUAGAGUGCGGAAGGGGCAACUGGAAUUCUUGGUGUAGCGGUGAAAUGCGUAGAUAUCUGGAGGAAUACCGGUGGCGAAGGCGGCAUCCUGGACCGACAUUGACGCUGAUGAGCGAAAGCUAGGGGAGCAAACGGG